UACGGGGGGAGCAAGCGUUGUUCGGAUUUACUGGGCGUAAAGGGCGCGUAGGCGGCCAGCACAAGUCAGUUGUGAAAUCUCCGAGCUUAACUCGGAAAGGUCAACUGAUACUGUGCGGCUAGAGUGCGGAAGGGGCAACUGGAAUUCUUGGUGUAGCGGUGAAAUGCGUAGAUAUCUGGAGGAAUACCGGUGGCGAAGGCGGCGUUCUGGACCAUUACUGACACUGAAUCGCGAAAGCUAGGGGAGCAAACGGG
rnacentral:rRNA from 1 species